ACUAUCGAAUUCAAAUGAUAUUUCCAAUCUAAAAUGUAAAAACAACAAAACAGAGCGAGUAAUAAGUUUAUGUUUGUUAAAUAAUUUUUAAAAAGAAAAAAAGAAAUAUUUGUUAAAAAGAAGAAUAAUGUACAAUGAUAUAACGUCAAAAAGAGAACUGAUUGGAAAUGUAUCAGACAACUUAGCUAGCUAUACAUUUUCAAUUUGUUUUCUUUUCGGAUGAAGCGAAAUUUAUUAUUCGAAGUAAAAAACUUAUUGGGCUUUUCUCCAGAGAACGCUAGCAAGCAGUCUACUGAGAAAGCGAAAGAAAACCAGGUGUGUUGUUUAGAUUUAUCUAGUAGAGAAAUGAAUUUAGUUGAAUAGCGAUAUUUAAGCUGUUUACACCUUCAAAGCUAAACAUUCCCUUAAAUAUGAAGUGAAAUAUGUCUUGCGCCUGAACAUAUUCUUUUUUGUAAGAAUAUACCCAAGGUCAGUUAAAAGUAUAUAGUAUGCUUUAUUUUAUUAAGGCAUUAUAUAUUUUCAGGACAUGGACAUGCUAAGAAUAUAUUCAGAAUAAUGAGGAUAGUAUUUGUCAAAAAGUUAAGAACAUUAAGGCUGAAACGGAAUAAUUCUUAUAAAGUACACGGUGCAUAUCAUAGAGAAGAGUUUACAUAAACUGUAAAUGUAUUUUUUCCGUUGUUACUGUUUUUAAUACUACAAACUGUGUAAUUCAGUGUUGAUGUCGUUAUAAAAACCUAAACCUAAAACCUAAAUUUAAAUCAAUGUUUACAUCUGUUACGUUACAAUCGUUUGAAAUAUAUUCGAUUCUUAAAUUCGGAAACGCUGCAUUGUUAUCUUCUUUGAUUUUAUGCGUGAUUUUCUUGAUUAUAAGUUUGGGUCUGUUCUUUUAAUAUUGCGGUAGAUAUACAAUAUGCCAAAUGAUUCAAGUUUUUAUAGUUCUCUUUUAUGUGUUUUAACUAUUAAAUUCUUAUAUUUUGAGUUCUGAAAUGGCAAAGCAAGUAUAUAGUUUUAGCGUAUUUCGCUUUUUAUAAACGGUUGUUAGACACCUUUGAUUUUGUUGGACAUUUUCCAUUUUUAUUUUACAAUUCUAUUUAUUUAUUUAUUUUUUUGUUGCACAUGCUUAUAUUUUUAGACGUUUUGUUUCAGCGGUUAUACACAUAGAAUAAUGCAGAUUGUGAACAACCUCGAUCCCAAAGCAUUUUUUAUCUUUCUGCCAUCCCGUUAUAAAAGAGACAAAGAACCCUGGGUCGCGUUGGAAAUGUGAGUUUUAAAAUUCAAAUAACUGUGUUGUAUGUUUUUGUUUGGUAUCCCUUACAUCGGUGAAUGACAGAUGCAAUGGAUUCUUCCACGGGAAUUCAGAUAACUGUUAAUUUUUUUAUAUUUUGUGUAAAACUUUGAAAGGGUUGCUGUAUGCAAUAGACUGAUUAUCUGAUUUUGUUAUGACGUGUUACAAACUGUACAGUGUUGGGUAUUUUGUAAUAACUUUGUUUGUAUGACUGGGCAAGAUAUGUUGUUUUUUUUAAAUGUCUGAUACACUGUCUUUCCCUGUUGUACUUCUAGCAUGGCAAAGCAAGUAUAAAUUUUAGCAGAUUUCGCUUUUUAAAUAACGGUUGUUAGACGCCUUGUGAUUUUGUUGGACAUAUUGCAUUUUUUGUUGUUGUUGUUGUUGUUGCAUCUGCUUAUAUUUCAACGUUUUGGUUUCAACGGGUACAAAUAUAAAGUAAUGUAGACUGUGAGCCACUUCGAUACCAGAGCUUUUUCUCUCUUUUUUCCGUCCCGUUAUAAAAAGAGACAAAGUGCCGAGGUUGUGUUGUAAGUUUUAAAAAUUCAAAUUACCAUGCUGUAUGUUUUUCUUUGGUAUCCCUUACAUGCAUUCAAUGAGAGAUUCAGUGGAUUCUUCCACGGGAAUUCGGCUAGUUUAACAUAUUUUCUGAAUUUUACACAGAUCGUAUGAAAAAUUGCCAAAUAUUACCCGAAAAUCCGUUUUUUAUCGAUUUUUGGAUAAAAUCCGGAAAAAUCGGGAAAUCGGAUUAACCACAUGACCAAAUAAUAAUCGUAACAAGAUUUAUUAUAUUUGUCCUAUUAUAAGAGUUUCAUAGAGAUUUUUAGGGUAGUUUCGAGUAAUAGCCAAUAGCAAAGCCUCUGAAAGGUAUGGGACCUAAAAAAUGCACGCAGGUGUCUAAUGGAUAAAUAUUGAAACUCAGUAAGUAUUUUAGCCAUGCGACAUAGCAUUAAAGAGUUAUUAAAAGAAACCGUCAGAGGCGGCGGAAUCCGCCCCCACGGACCGAAUAGGGUGAAUAAAAAAUAUUUUUAUAUGUUAUUUCAGAAAACAUAGAGCUACAGUAAAUAUGUAAAUAACAUUUUUGUGUAAAUUAAGAAAUGUAAACAUAUAUGUACUACUAUAUUACAAAUACUGUUACAUAACUUAUUGUAUCAAAUGUAUGCAAUACGAGAUGUACGGUGAUCCAUAAAUAGAAUAAAAAAAAACAAAACAUCAUUCACAUUUUUGUUGUAUCUAGAGGUCUGCUCAGAACUCUACUUGAAGAAGAUCUUCUUAAGUUCUUAAUCGAGCUUGUCUGUUUAUCACAACCAAAAGGCUUUUUAAUAAAGGUUUUUAACUCAUGAAAAACAAGGAAUCCGCAUCUUUUUUUUUCUUUUAUGUCAUUGGUUGAUGUUGUCUCUCAACAGGUUUGCACACAGCGGUAACAUCUUUUAAAUGACUUAUUAACAUACAUCUACAUCAGCAGCCAUUUUUUUCCCAGUUUUGUUGCAGUGGAAUUCGGAUUAUAACAAGGUUCAGUUGGUGAAGACGUUCUAGAUGCUUUCAAAGAUGUAACAACAUCGUCAUCAUCAUCAUCAUCACCCGAGCCAAUCGACCUUUUUUUAAAAAGCCGGAAGUUUUGACACCUUAGGGCUAGCUAAAUAACCAUAUGUAAUAUUAUAAUUAAGAAUACUGUGUCUUUUAAUUGAUGACACAGUACUGCGUAAAUGACCAAGAACUUCAGAAAUUUUAUACUUAGAAAUUAGAUUUAGUCUGUUCUUCUUGUUUGUGAAUACAACGACUGUAGCUGUCACGAAUGGGUUUCCAUUUAGUCUUUAAUACAUCCACCAAAUUAAAAAUAUAUUUAUUAAAGUUUGUUGUACGUAAUAUCAUUUUUGGAAUGCUCAUCUUCAAACAACAUUAACCUGUUUUCAUAUUAAAAAUGACCAUCAAAAGAUAUUACCUGAAGUUCCCUUUACCCAUGCAGAAAAAAUCUCCCAAGCUUGUCGUUCUCUAUUUGGGUCCCUGUAAAUAUCCAGUUUCAUUAACAUACUUCAGGUUCUACUAGCUACUGCCUCUCUACGUAGUUGAUCGACAUAUCUUAAACUAUUUCUAUUAUUUGAUCUGUCGCUGCACUUUUGUAAGAGCUUUCUUUAUCAAGAAAAGCCUCAUCAUUGAUAUUGAAAGAGAUCAGACACCAUUUUGAUUAGUUUCUUCUCGUUAAAGAAAAGUUUUGAUUGGUUAAAAAAGUGUUUCUUGACCAGCGGAAAAGUUUAGAAUCUUGAACUUUUUUUUAGCCUUAACGUUUAUAAAUUUCCGCUUGGGUUAUAAUUAUUUCAAGAAGUACGCAUGCGCAUCGCUCCAAAACGACCGCUAUAAAUUUACGUCAUCGCUUUGUUUUAGAACUAUCGCUAUAGCGCGUUCACUGAAAUGAUAUGGACACGGAAACCGAUAGGGGCCAAAAAGAUUAUUAUCAUCUGAUACAAAAAUGGAGAGUGAUGAAGAUUGAUUGGUUUGUUGAUAAAAAAACUAAAAAUAAUCGAAGAAAAAGAAAGAUAUGGGUGAAGAAAAUAUACAAAGACCGGGAAAGGAUCGUCUUGUCAUAGAAAUGCAUCUAACAAGCAGAGAGCCAUAUUUCAAGUACUGAAGAUUGGCUUGCAACAGGCACUGAAGACAAGUAAUAAGAGAUGUGGGUUUUCCACAGUUUUAAAAAAGUGUGGAAAAGUUUAGAAAUCGUAAAAGAAUGCUCACAUAGACAGAUUUUUUGUUGAUUACAGUUUGGCUUGGCAAGUGCUUUUUUUUAAGAAGAAUUCCGAUUUAGUGUGAUUCACCUUCGAAGGGAUUAUUUGAUAUUUACUGAUGGAUGGCGUAGAUGUCAUUAGAAUGGAAAAUAAUCCAGAAGAUAUGGAGCGAUUUUAAAUACUAACAGAGAACACUGAAUUGCAGAGGCUGGAUCCAGAAAUAAAAUGCAUCAAGAAAAAAAAGGCAAUUAAUAAGGGAUGUGACUGAGUGUUGAAAUGCAUACAAGUGAAGUGCAUACACUUUGUAGGGAGAUCCCUUUUUUACGACAGGGAUUGUUUUAAUUUUUUUAAAUGUGCUGACAUUAAUGUAAUAAUGUUGAAAGAUAAAAAUUUUUUUUCAUUUAAAUGUAUCUUGUUUGCUAGGUUAUAACCACGUGGUUACUAUAAGGACAUAUAUGGAUACUAGACUUACAAUGCGACCAGAUUUGAAGGAAAAAUUAAUUCAAAGAAAUGACGUUAUUCCUGAUAACAAUGGUGUCGUUACGGUGUUUUCCCUACCUUGUUUAUCUAUGUACCAUGAAUAACAUAAUCGUCAAUAUUUAUAGAAUAAUGGAUCUUUUAGUCAGUAUUGUUUAAAUAGCAUCUUUCUUAAAGACAAUUAAUUUUGAUAUAUAUCACAAACAAAUCUCGGUAAAGGUUACGGGAAAUAGCAAAGUACGGUUUCUUUGUUACGUGGUGUCAUUCGUAAAGAGUGAGCCAAUGACACAAAUAUUUACGAUUUACGUACAGGGCACAGGGGUUACACUUUUAAGCGUAAGGAGUGCACACAUAAAAUUUGGUGCUUAUUACAAAAAUACCACUGGAUUUGUUCACUAAAGAGCACAGCCUCGACGUUGUUUGAUAUUGUUCUUACAGGUAGCUUAGCUACUCUAUAAAGAGAUCUAUAUAAUAAUAAGCCAGUUCCGUGUGUCUGUAACAGGCAAAGUUGAUAUCGUCAUUUUCCUUUGAUGUUGCCGAAAAAAAUCUUUGAUGUUGCCGAAAAAAAUAUUUCUUCUUUGUCGUGAAAAGCCGCGAGUUUUGUGUGGUUUGUUAAAUGAAGUUCUAGCACAAAGUAACGGAAAUUGUGUUUGCAAAAAAGAUGGCUGUCCUUUUUAAGCAUUUGUCUCUUGCCUUCAAAAUAAAUCUUUACAAAAGCAUUUAAAAAGGGGCAUGGUAUAAAAAUGAAGUAUAGAAAGGUUUCUGUAAGGUUUGUUUAUGUUUUUUAAAGUUUUGAUGAUAUUAUUGAUGCGAGACAUGUUUGUUAGCUAGCAUCAACCACACCAACAACAACUAGCUAGGUAGCUAGGAAUUUAUAAAUAUGUAGCCAUGUUCUUUAUACCUAGCUAAGUCUCCAGUUUAUAUUUAAGUGACCAGCUAUUAGCUGCUGUAGCUACCUUAUGUUAGCUUCAGUUUUAUGUUGCUUUUUACAUGUAAGCUAAUCUUAGUGGUCUUUGCUAAGAACGUGACUGUAACUUACUUUAAUUGACAUUUUAAGCUUAAAUUAACAAGCCACAACAACUUUUAAAAAAGUAUUACAUAAUAUUUAAGAAGAGUUUAAGGACUGUUUUUAAGCAAAUAAUGUAUUUUUCACAAUUUGUGUAUGCAAAUAAUGUAUUUUUCACAUUUUGUGUAACUAAACUUAGCUAUAUACAUCGGAUACAUGCAAUAUGACGAAACGAUUUUUAUUUAACAUGUAGUAAUUCUGGUACCUUAAGUGUAGUGACUUUUGUUGUUCUAGAUGUUCUGACUAAAAUGUUUUUGUUUAUGGCAUUUUGUCUCAAUUAAGAAAAGUUUCAUGAGGGAGUACAACACCGAAAAAACUUGUGUUUUUUUAUAUUUUGUAAAAAUUCUUACCGGGCAGGACUCUGUACAACAUACCGAAAUGACUGAUCCCUCUCUAUUUAUAAAUUUCAUGCGUUCCAAAUCACAGUUUUUAGAAAUUUUGGGUAAUAUUUAAUGAGUACAAGAUGCAAAUACUGAUUUUUGUUGAAUCAGAAGUAUUUCCUACAACCAUUCUUUUUUUACAUUUUUGUGUUGCAAAUUUAGUGCAAAAAUUUAACUGUUGUGAGGGAGGACCAUAUGCAAUUAUAUAUACUAAAAAUAAUAAUUUGAUAUUCUACAAGUUGUAUUUUUGUAUGCACUUAAAUGACUGCUUUUUCUGAGUUGAAUUUGAUGGGUUUCAUAUCAAUUUUGUGGAAGAUUUUAUGGCUGAAGACAAUAUAGAACAUGCCAAUUGAACUGAUUUUUGUUCAUAUUUUGAUUUGCUCCUCAUAAACCUUUGUGUUCUACAUUUAUUGUAAACUUUUGUGAAGAAGGAUCAUAUAUACAAUGUUUUCAAAAUAAUGAUUUUUGUUGAUUUGAAAUUUACUCCUUGCUCAUUGCUUUUUCGACAUUUCAGUUUAAAAUGUUUGGUAAAGUCAGUACGGAUCAUUAGACAAAAAAUUGAUUUGUUAACCGGUUAUUUUUUACGUUUUGUGCAUAUUUUUGCGGGAGAGGAUGGUAUGCAACUGAAUAAAUGAUUUUUCAAAGUUUAACUUUUUUUUUUUUAGGUGUUUUGUGUUUGUUUAAGUUUGGCUUUUUGAUAUUGUUCAGGUUGUAUUGUUGUAUAAGCAUUUAGGGAAAAGACAAUGUUUAAAAUGCGUAAAGAACUUAUUUCAUAGAUCUGUGCUUACUGUUGCAAGCCUUUCUUUUCGACACUUCAUAUUAAAAUAUUGAAGGCUUGCAACAGUAAGCACAGAUCUAUGAAAUAAGUUCUUUAUGCAUUUUAAACAUUGUCUUUUCCCUAAAUGCUUAUACAACAAUACAACCUGAACAACAUAAAAAAGCCAAACUUAAACAAACCCAAAACACCAA